GAAAUACUCCCUCCGUCCCAAAAUAAGUGUCUCAACUUUGUACUAGAGUUAGUACAAAGUUGUACUAAGCUUGAGACACUUAUUUUGGGACGGAGGGAGUAGUUA
rfam:Triticum aestivum genome assembly, contig: Triticum_aestivum_CS42_TGACv1_scaffold_557497_7AL